rnacentral:rRNA from 1 species
GUGGGGAAUAUUGGACAAUGGGGGGAACCCUGAUCCAGCCAUGCCGCGUGUGUGAAGAAGGCCUUUUGGUUGUAAAGCACUUUAAGCGAGGAGGAGGCUACCGAGAUUAAUACUCUUGGAUAGUGGACGUUACUCGCAGAAUAAGCACCGGCUAACUCUGUGCCAGCAGCCGCGGUAAUACAGAGGGUGCAAGCGUUAAUCGGAUUUACUGGGCGUAAAGCGCGCGUAGGUGGCCAAUUAAGUCAAAUGUGAAAUCCCCGAGCUUAACUUGGGAAUUGCAUUCGAUACUGGUUGGCUAGAGUAUGGGAGAGGAUGGUAGAAUUCCAGGUGUAGCGGUGAAAUGCGUAGAGAUCUGGAGGAAUACAGAUGGCGAAGGCAGCCAUCUGGCCUAAUACUGACACUGAGGUGCGAAAGCAUGGGGAGCAAACAGGAUUAGAAACCCGAGUAGUCC